GGGGACGACUGGCUGGUGGAAUCCUUGCGCUUGUACCAGGAUUUCUAUGCAUUCGACCUGUCAGGAGCCACUCGAGUCCUUGAAUGGAUUGAUGACAAAGGUGGAGUCUUUGUUGCUGGCUAUGAAAGCCUGAAAAAGAAUGAAAUUCUUCAUCUGAAAUUACCUCUCAGACUUUCUGUAAAGGAAAACAAGGGCUUAUUCCCAGAAAGAGAUUUCAAAGUGCGCCAUGGAGGAUUUUCAGACAGGUCUAUCUUUGAUCUAAAGCAUGUGCCACAUACCAGAUUGCUGGUUACCAGUGGCCUUCCAGGUCCUAGAUGCAGACACCUUUGCCUUCUGCUGUGCUUCAGGCCGGCUGGGGCUUGUUGACACCCGGCAGAAGUGGGCACCGUUGGAGAAUCGCAGCCCUGGCCCUGGGUCUGGUGGAGAGAGAUGGUGUGCUGAAGUUGGGAGCUGGGGCCAGGGCCCUGGGCCCAGCAUUGCCAGCCUUGGCUCAGAUGGGCGUCUUUGUCUUCUUGACCCCCGGGAUCUCUGCCAUCCUGUGAGCUCAGUCCAGUGCCCAGUAUCCGUACCUAGCCCUGACCCAGAGCUGCUGCGAGUGACUUGGGCCCCAGGCCUGAAGAAUUGCUUGGCCAUCUCAGGUUUUGAUGGUACAGUCCAGGUCUAUGAUGCCACAUCUUGGGAUGGAACACGGAGCCAAGAUGGAACACGGAGCCAAGUAGAACCUCUCUUCACUCACAGAGGUCACAUCUUCCUAGAUGGAAAUGGGAUGGACCCUGCUCCUUUGGUCACCACCCACACCUGGCAUCCCUGCAGACCAAGGACUUUGUUAUCAGCAACAAAUGAUGCCUCUCUGCAUGUGUGGGACUGGGUGGACCUUUGUGCCCCCCGCUGACACCAGCAUCUUUCCAUCUAGGCCUCUAGAAAGGGGAGGAGCUGCUGUAGUAGCAAGGGUGCUCAUGUAGGACUCAAGUGACUACCAGUCCCUGUUACCAGCUGUGUGGCCUUGGGCAAGUCUGCCAGCGUCACUUAGCCUCAGUUUCCUUAUCUGUAAAAUGAGGAUAGUAAGAACUACCUCGUAGUGAUAUUGCGAAGGUUAGAAGAAACGCAUGGCAUAAUUACUUGGUAGCUAUUGUUAGAUCUGGGAGUGUGAAAUGGUAGCGUUUUGUCCCUGUCUUCACACUAUCAUAGGGAGAAUCAAAAGAGC
rnacentral:lncRNA from 1 species